rnacentral:rRNA from 1 species
UAAUACGUACUGUGCGAACGUUAUUCGGAAUUACUGGGCUUAAAGGGUGCGUAGGCGGCUGAUCAAGUCAGGUGUGAAAGUCCUCGGCUCAACCGAGGAAUUGCGCUUGAAACUGGUCAGCUCGAGUGAGAUAGGGGUGUGCGGAACUUCCGGUGGAGCGGUGAAAUGCGUUGAUAUCGGAAGGAACACCGGUGGCGAAGGCGGCACACUGGGUCUCUACUGACGCUGAGGCACGAAAGCUAGGGGAGCGAACGGGAUUAGAUACCCCGGUAGUCUUAGCUGUAAACGAUGAGCACUAGAUGGGAGGAGCUUCGGCUUCUCCGGUCGUAGCGAAAGCGAUAAGUGCUCCGCCUGGGGAGUAUGGUCGCAAGGCUG